UACGUAGGGGGCAAGCGUUGUCCGGAUUUAUUGGGCGUAAAGAGCGUGUAGGCGGCUUUGUAGGUCCGCUGUGAAAACUCGAGGCUCAACCUCGAGAUGUCGGCGGAAACCACUUGGCUAGAGUCCGGAAGAGGAGAGUGGAAUUCCCGGUGUAGCGGUGAAAUGCGCAGAUAUCGGGAAGAACACCUAUGGCGAAGGCAGCUCUCUGGGACGGUACUGACGCUGAGACGCGAAAGCGUGGGGAGCGAACAGG
rnacentral:rRNA from 1 species